UUAUUAGACGAUGCCAUCGAA
rnacentral:misc_RNA from 1 species